GUUGGUGCUUUAGCGGAGGGGGUACACCCGUUCUCAUUCCGAACACGGCAGUUAAGCUCUCCAUCGCCGAUGGUACUCCGCAAGGGGAAGAGUAGGUAGGCGCCAACU
rfam:Candidatus Kaiserbacteria bacterium RIFOXYD1_FTLL_42_15 rifoxyd1_full_scaffold_754, whole genome shotgun sequence.